GUGACCGGGAAAGCUCAAUUUAAAAUCUGGCUGUCUUCGAUAGUCCGAGUUGUAAUCUAUAGAAGUGUUUUCCGUGCUGAACUGUGUCUAAGUCCCUUGGAACAGGGUAUCAAAGAGGGUGACAAUCCCGUACUUGACACAAUCAUCAGUGCUCUGUGAUACAUUCUCUACGAGUCGAGUUGUUUGGGAAUGCAGCUCAAAAUGGGUGGUAAAUUCCAUCUAAAGCUAAAUAUUGGCGAGAGACCGAUAGCGAACAAGUACCGUGAGGGAAAGAUGAAAAGCACUUUGGAAAGAGAGUUAAACAGUACGUGAAAUUGUUGAAAGGGAAACGAUUGAAGUCAGUCGUGUUCAUUGGAUUCAGCUAGUUCUUCUAGUCUACUUCCUUUGAACGGGUCAACAUCAGUUUUGUCCGGUGGAUAAAGGCAGUAGGAAUGUGGCUUCUUCGGAAGUGUUAUAGCCUAUUGUCACAUACACUGGGGGAGACUGAGGACUGCAGCUCGCCUUUUGGCCGGGGUCGCCCA
rnacentral:rRNA from 1 species